rnacentral:rRNA from 1 species
AACGGAGGGUGCAAGCGCUACUCGGACUCACUGGGCGUAAAGGGCGCGUAGGCGGCCUAGCAAGUCUGGUGUGAAAGCCCAGGGCUCUACCCUGGAAGGGCACUGGAAACUGUUAGGCUUGAGUUCCGGAGAGGAGGGGGGAAUUCCCGGUGGGCCGGUGAAAGGCGUAGAUAUCGGGAGGGAUACCGGUGGCGAAGGCGGCCCGCUGGACGGAAACUGACGCUGAGGCGCGAAAGCGUGGGGAGCAAACAGG